GACGAACGCUGGCGGCGUGCCUAAUACAUGCAAGACCGCUGAAGGAGGAGCUUGCUUCUCUGGAUGAGUUGCGAACGGGUGAGUAACGCGUAGGUAACCUGCCUGGUAGCGGGGGAUAACUAUUGGAAACGAUAGCUAAUACCGCAUAAGAGUAGAUGUUGCAUGACAUUUGCUUAAAAGGUGCAAUUGCAUCACUACCAGAUGGACCUGCGUUGUAUUAGCUAGUUGGUGGGGUAACGGCUCACCAAGGCGACGAUACAUAGCCGACCUGAGAGGGUGAUCGGCCACACUGGGACUGAGACACGGCCCAGACUCCUACGGGAGGCAGCAGUAGGGAAUCUUCGGCAAUGGGCGGAAGUCUGACCGAGCAACGCCGCGUGAGUGAAGAAGGUUUUCGGAUCGUAAAGCUCUGUUGUAAGAGAAGAACGAGUGUGAGAGUGGAAAGUUCACACUGUGACGGUAUCUUACCAGAAAGGGACGGCUAACUACGUG
rnacentral:rRNA from 1 species